rnacentral:rRNA from 1 species
CACACCGCCCAUCACACCAUGGGAGUUGGUUUUACCCGAAGACGGUGCGCUAACCAGCAAUGGAGGCAGCCGGCCGCGGUAGGGUCAGCGACUGGGGUG